CUCCAAUUCGGCCAUGGGGGUACUUGAAAUCAAAUUCUAAACGGAUAGGAGAUUUUUACUUUUUUUAGCGGUCAGAUGUGACUCUGACGCAGCGGAGGACGACGGUCGGCUCUAUUCUCUGGCAACUGUUUCUCCUUCUCCGGCAAAAGGCUGGUGGCUAGGGUUUGGAUUCGGUGUGAUACGAGAUAUUUAUACUUGUCUUACUUAAAUAUGAACAGUUCAUCGCGUUUGAUCUCGACCGUCCGAUCACGUUUAAAGAUGAAAUAAAUUUGUGUUGUUCGUCACGAUUUGAUUUC
rnacentral:lncRNA from 1 species